AUGGACGUACGCUAGCAUGAGAUA
rnacentral:siRNA from 1 species